rnacentral:tRNA from 1 species
UACUUUUGUAGUUCAAUCGGUAGAACAGUUUUUUAACUGAUGUUGGUUCGAAUCCAACCAAAGUAA